rnacentral:lncRNA from 1 species
AUGUCCUUCCUGGGGAAAAAGGCGGCUCAGUAUGGGCGGGGACAGAGGAGGACCUGGGGGUUGGGCCGUGCCCACCAUAGCCACUGGUCCUCGCACCUUCCUGGCGGAUGCGCACGUUGUCACUGGGCCGCAGUUUGCUGCCCUCCCGGAACCACUGGCCAGGCACCUCGUCGUGGGAGACCUCACAGGAGAAGGUGGCACUGUCCUUCUCCAUCACUUCCACAUCCUCCAGUGACCUCACCAUCUGGAUGUUGCGGCCUGGGGUGGCAAGGGAGGCCCUGCCACACCUGGACACACAGAGCCACCCCCAGCACCCCCCACCCAGUGCCCCAGCGUGCCAAGGGUUGUGAAGGUGAAAGCAGAGUGGCCAAGCCCCUGGCUGGGGGACAUGGAAGACAGGAGGAGGUGCCCACACCUGCCGUGCCCCACGUGCCCCACACAGCCCUCACCUUGCACCUUCACAGAGGCAGAGCUCUGGGCGUCAUGGGCAUCACACACAUACAUGCCCUGAUCCGCGAACUCGCACCGGUAAAUGGUGAGGCUCCUGCAGGUGCCCUGGGCCGCAAUGCCCACCGUCUUGCCUGCCCGCAGCUCCACACCGUCCUGUGGAGCGCAGAAGCCCGGUCAGGCAUACAGGUGGUUCAGCCCUGGGGUUCCACUUGGGCCUGCCCCCAGGAGAGGAGGGAAGGAGGCAACAGAGUGGGGUCAGGGGGAGGCACCUUUAGCCAGCGCACAUCCACAUUAGGACGAGACAGCUCACACUCCAGGGUAACCUUCUCCUUCUCGGUGGUCACCACAUCCUGCAGCGGGCGGCUGAAGUUCACAGGCAGCUCUGGGGAGGAGGAAGUAGGAGGUGGGAGGAGAAAAAGGGCUUGGAGGAGCCUUCAGAGUGGGGACAGGACUAGGGUGGGACAGUGCCCAAGCUGGACAGAGUUAUAUGGAGCUGGCUCAUCCAGGUCCCUAGAGUCCCCACCGACCUCCCAGGGAUUCCCUCGGGACAGGUAG